GGAAGGUAAGCGAGGGGUCUCGCAGGUUGGUUGCUAACCAACUGGACUGUAAAAGGUCCGGGGUUCGAAUCCUCUGCCUUCCGC
rnacentral:tRNA from 1 species